rnacentral:rRNA from 1 species
UACGUAGGUGGCAAGCGUUGUCCGGAAUUACUGGGCGUAAAGGGUGCGCAGGCGGUCUCGUAAGCUGGGUGUGAAAGCCCCGGGCUUAACCUGGGAAUGGCAUUCAGGACUGCGAGGCUUUGAGUGCGGCAGAGGGAGGUGGAAUUCCACGUGUAGCAGUGAAAUGCGUAGAGAUGUGGAGGAACACCGAUGGCGAAGGCAGCCUCCUGGGCCAGCACUGACGCUCAUGCACGAAAGCGUGGGGAGCAAACAGG